UAUACUCAUUCCUUUCUAUUGAAGCCACCAAAUCUGAGGAUCGAAGCAAUUAUCGAAGCUCUUCAAGAAAAGAAAGUAAGGUGGUGAUUCUACUAGAUGGCAUAUCCUGUUACUACAACCCGUAGCUACACAUGUUACAUUUUUUUACAGCUACAUAUGUAACGACCCUUUGUUAUAUAUGUUAAUGACCAGCUUGUUGGAAUA